rnacentral:rRNA from 1 species
UACGGAGGGGACUAGCGUUGUUCGGAAUUACUGGGCGUAAAGCGCACGUAGGCGGAUUUGUAAGUCAGGUGUGAAAUCCCGGGGCUCAACCUCGGAACUGCCUUUGAUACUGCAAAUCUCGAGUCCGGAAGAGGUGAGUGGAAUUCCUAGUGUAGAGGUGAAAUUCGUAGAUAUUCGGAAGAACACCAGUGGCGAAGGCGACUCACUGGACAUGUAUUGACGCUGAGGUACGAAAGCGUGGGGAGCAAACAGG